AAUCCCUAAUUUCCCAUGGCGGACAAUCUUUUCUCAGUUGCUACUCUCCAACAAACACUCUGCACUCCCAUGGCUGAUGAGACCCCAAAAGCCACUCCACAGCCUCUCACUCCCUUCUUCGUCGUGAAUUAACUAAUAUUUAAUUUGGAGACGAAAAGAAAAAUAUCUUCGUUGCCUUUUGGCCUUACUUGAUCUGAUUUUUUGAUUCCUUUGCAAAUCAAAUUUCUAAGCUUUUGAUCUCUGCUUCAAACAGUUUGGAUCACAUGGUGUACAAGCUUUGAAAAGAUACAAAUACAGUGGUGUGGAUCACUCUUACCUUGCUAAAUAUGUAUUACAAACCUUUUGGAGCCGUUUUGUUAACUUCUUCCCUCUUUGGAUGCCGUAAGUUCUUUGGAUUUUUAUUAUUAUUUUAGUGCUUUGAAUAAUCAUAGUUUUCAUUUUGUUAGUGUUGUUUAUCUAUUUUGAAGCACUGGUUCCUAUAUACACUUGUUUUGACUGUUGCUAGUUAGUUGUGAUAUUGAUAGAGAGCUGAACCUUGAGAAAAGGGGGGGUUGAAAGUAAUAUUAUAUUUAAAUAGGGUUUAAAUUGAAUAUUUUAUAACUAGAAGGGAUUAAAGUUGGUAUUAGUCCAUUUAAUCAAGGGGAGCCAAGGCCCCCUUUGUGUGAAAGUAAUUUUGUCAUCUCUAUUUAUGCUUUGAAUAACCAUAGUUUUUAUUUGCUGCUUCAUUUUGUUAGUGUUGUUUACUUGUUUUGAAACACUGGUUCCUAUCUAUACCUAUUUGAGUUUUGCUAGUGGAUUGUGAUAUUUGAUAUAGAGCUGAACUUAGAAGAAGGGAAUGGAAUUAUCAAUGUGAAAGCAGAGGCGAAGCUAGAAAUUCGGUUUUGGGGGGUCAAAAUAAAAUUUUAAAAGUUUGGGGGUUGAAAGUAAACAUUAUAUUUGAAUAGGGUUUAAAUUGAAUAUUUUAUAACUGGAUGGGACUAAAGUUGCUAUUACUCCAUUUAAUCAAGGGGGGCCAAGGCCCCUGCCUUUCCCCUUAGUUACGCCCUUGUGUGAAAGUAUAAGUUUUAAACGCUAUAUCAUGCUUCAUUUGAGCUUUAAGUAUUUUCCUGUUUUUCAAUGAUAUUUGCCGGCACUAACAUAUUUAUGUUUCUAUAUGUGUUUGCUACUCGGCUGGUUGUUCUUUUUUGCAGACCAAACAUGGUAUGUAAUGCUUACUACUUCUAAAUUGUGAUUUUCUAUUAACAUACAAACUCGGACAUGCUUAUACAUGUAUAUGCAUGUUUACUAUUACACCUGAUUUAUUUGAUUACUAAAUUGGUAUGCUUUUGUUUCUUAAGAUAACACUUACAGGAUUUAUGUUCUUGGUUACCUCAGCAGUGCUUGGCUAUGAAAAAGACUUGAAAGUCAUAAGAGAAGCUAAGAUCCGAGAAGAGAUGUUAGACUAGGAAGCUUCACUUAGACGAGCAAGAGCAGAAGCAUCUCUUUUUGAUGGUAGCUCAUGGGGCAUGGGAGAGGAUGCUAUUGAAGAAGCAGAGGUUUGUAUUACUUAGAAACUAAUAUAAUACUAUUGGAAUUUUUUAAAAUAUUUUAUGUGAUCAAAAUUUUUUUUAAGAAAAAGACCAGAAUUCUUUCUCCCACAAUUUGGAUGAGUGCAAUGGCUCCCUGUUGUUUUCUUUUGGAUCCACUACAUUCCGUCAGCUAGCAAUCAGAUAAAUGUAAUUAAAUUUUCAAAAGGUCCUAAGAUUCGCCUCUGUGGUAGGCCUUUAUCACAUAUAGAGUAAUAAUUUUCUUUUGAAGGAUGAUGGACCAGAUGUUGAAGGAAAUACUAGCCAUAAAUUUGUCUCCAAGGGGUGGAGGUAUAACAGGAUUUGUAGCAAUUUGCUUGUGAAUUUUGAAUUCUACUGUCUAAUAUCUCGUAAAAUAUGAAGGUAUAAUGUGUCUCUGCCCUUUUCAGACCUUAUUUUGUUGCAAGAGGAUUAUUAUGACCCUAGCAUUUUACAUAUAUACAAUAAUUCGUAUUAUUUUUAAUGCACCUCUGAUGCCUUUGAACUUAGACCAGCUUGUGAAGCUGUGAUGCAGCAGUGUAUGUGAAUAAAUUUUCAUCACUUGCUUUCAGUGUAUGUGAAGCUAUGAUGCACCUCUCCCUACAUGUGUGGUUUGUACCUUUUAUCUUUCUUAUGAAUAAUGCAGGUUUAUAUUGCAGGAUAUAGUUUGGAAUGCCUUCAAUGAAACUUGCAGAGCAAAGAUGGUGCAGCAGAUUGCAUUGUAUUUUUUAUUACAUUACAAUGUGUAUAGUUAUAGGCAGGUUCAACUAGUCAGUCUGUUUCUCAUAUGUAUUAUUUAUUUUAGUUUUGAUUCUAAAUUUUUAUUUUUACUUUAAUAUUUACGACAACUUGAGUUCUAGCUUUUGGAUUUUAA